CUCCACUAAACUUGCUAACAUGGUGUUUUUCUUCAGGACAGGCCUUGGUAUGAAGGUCUCUUUGCACUGAGGACAGCUGUAGAUCAUCUUCUUAACCUGAGUAUCCCAGUGGGAUUGAAUACAGCUCAUGCAGAAGCUGUGUCCACAGGUAACAGUCACUGGAUCCUGCAGUAGAUCCAAACAGAUGGAACAAGAGAAAGAUUCCUGGUCCAGAUGAACUCCUUUCUGCGCCAUUUC